UUUCCUCCUCUAGCUCGCUGCCUAUCUUCCUCCCUCUUUCCUAGCUAAUUCCCAGAGAUGUCGACUAGAUCUGGCUAUUGACUGGCUAGGCCCUAACUCUUUUCCUUCCUUAAUUCUUUUACCUCCUCCUCUCUUUCUCCAUUUCUUCUCUAGACCUCUUUCUAUCUUCCUCUUUUGUGGUUCCCAAUGCUUGAUCGGCCAAUGGACUUUCUUCUCACUAGAUCUGGUCAUCACUUUUGAGGGUAGUCCUCUAGUUCUUCUCUCUAUCUCUCUCCUCCACCUCUCACAUGACAGCACACUACCACCAAAGUUGGCAUACGUCUCCUAGUCAACAGACCCCCUCUCUCCUCCUUCCCUCUCUCUUUCUCUCUCUAGUUAUUAGAUCCUCGUAUCUUGUGAUGCAUGAACGGAUCACUCCAUCUCUCUCGCUUUUUCUUCUGCUUUAAUUUGGUGCUCACAAACUCAUCCUCUGUCAGCCAUGGCCCCUCUCUUUUUUUUUUCUCCCCAUAAUCUCUCUCCUGACGCUCUUGACUGGAUCUGUCAGAUUAGUCUCUCCCCCAUACAU
rnacentral:lncRNA from 1 species